rnacentral:rRNA from 1 species
AGCGAACGCUGGCGGCAGGCUUAACACAUGCCAGUCGAGCGGGCAUCCUUGUGGUGUCAGCGGCAGACGGGUGAGUAACGCGUGGGAACGUGCCCUUCGGUUCGGAAUAACUCAGGGAAACUUGAGCUAAUACCGGAUACGUGCGAGAGCAGAAAGGUUUAUCUGCCGAAGGAUCGGCCCGCGUCUGAUUAGCUAGUUGGUGAGGUUAUGGCUCACCAAGGCGACGAUCAGUAGCUGGUCUGAGAGGAUGAUCAGCCACACUGGGACUGAGACACGGCCCAGACUCCUACGGGAGGCAGCAGUGGGGAAUAUUGGACAAUGGGGGCAACCCUGAUCCAGCCAUGCCGCGUGAGUGAUGACGGCCUUAGGGUUGUAAAGCUCUUUUCUUCGGGACGAUAAUGACGGUACCGGAGGAAUAAGCCCCGGCUAACUUCGUG